AAUGCUCUGUUUUGUAUGUGUCAAGUCUAUUGAGGUGGGCACAGGUUACAGUUUGUAUGUGCCAAGUCUAUUGAGGUGGACACAGGUUACAGUUUGUAUGUGUCAAGUCUAUUGAAGGGGGCACAGGUUACAGUUUAGGCUUAAAGCCUGUUUUGUAUGUGUCAAGUCUAUUGAGGGGGGCACAGGUUACAGUUUAGGCUUAAAGCCUGUUUUGAAUGUGUCAAGUCUAUUGAGGGGGGCACAGGUUACAGUUUAGGCUUAAAGCCUGUUUUGUAUGACAUAUUAUAAGUGGUGUCCAGUACAGCCUAUGACAAAGCUUAUAAUUAAAUGUAUUGAUAGUUUGGCUUCUUUGACUAGUGAAAUUAUAUUCUCCCAGACAUUCUCCCAGUCAAUAGCCUCAUCAUCAUCAUCAGACAUAUACUUUACCCAUGAUUUAACCAUUUGGAAGAUAUUUUUUUGCUUUAGUAAUUGAAGAUGAAAAUAAAUAGCAGACACCAAACCUCUGGACAAGUUCCCAAAUUUGUACCUAAUGGGACACCAUAGGCACAAAGUGCAGACUGUAGACUAAGGUAAAAUAGACAAAGAUCCUGGAAACUAGGGAGACCCUCUUGAGUUAAAUACAUCUCCUCGAUUUUUGAUCCCUUUUGCAGUCCAGGCUUUUGGCUCAAAUGGUUUAUUACCUGAAAGUAAUAGCCUUGUUAUGCCGUGGAGGGGUAUAGAGAUGCCACUUCCAGUUACCACCUACAUMAUCUCUCAUGGACAGAUCUAUGUAAACGUAUCUAUGGUACCAUAGAAUCUGUCUGGAAGGAACGGGGCGUGUGUGAUAACGAACGGCAGUAGGUCUGGUGUUUUGGAGUUUUCGUCACUGGUUAUUUGGACAAAUCACGAUGUCGCAGAUGUUUUAGCGUCUUCCGAAUUUCGAAAGGCGAGGGGACAUUCGAUUCGUCACUAGUAAAGAGAGAGGGUGAAGCUCCUCAUUUUCUAGAAUCUCUUAAUCCAUUUCUCUUAACACAUAUGGACCUAGAAUUGUAAUCGUGCAGCUGACCAAUUACGCAAAACUUUAGUUCUGGAUUAACGAAUUUGACCAUUUACACACUUCUAAACAUUCCUCAAAUUCUUUACUGCAUUAGAGAUAAUAGAACAGUAAUACACUAUAACAUGCAUUCCACAUUAUACUAGAAAAAUAACACAUCUUUCUAUCUAAUAAAAGGGGAAACUAGUUCCUUUUCAAUAAUUACCAAGAGACUGGUGUAGACUGAAGAACCAUGAUAUAAGUGAUCGACCAUAAAGACGUCCACAUGCAACCCAGCCUUAACAGGUCCUUGUAGUACCACAAACCGGACCUUUGCCAUUCCAUAAAGGUAUUUAUGUACAUGUUUAUUGUGUACGUUUACAUUCCUGCUGACUGUCCGUCACGAAAGAGGAUUUUAAGAUUUUGGGGGAAUACGAUGAUUAACCAGGUAAGCGAGCAGGUUUUAUUACCAGCGAUAUGCGAUCUGAUCACUGAUAAUAAAGGCUUUACCCUGAA